rnacentral:lncRNA from 1 species
GAGAAAAGUUUCACUGGGUAACAUCAAGAACUCACAGUGAAGCUUGGGGUACACAGCCCUCGUCUCUCUCUGUGGGUCUGUUCCCACACCCUGUUUGCCAGCUGCUGAUGGAGAAGUGAGGAGGGAAGCAGAGGUGAAAAUAUUCCUCCCAGAGGGGUCUGUUUCUCCUUGGGCAGCCGUCAGGAUCUGUGGAUAACAAUGUGUUUCCUCUGUAUUUUAGAGGGGCCAAGAGAGGCAGGGAAGCUCAAAACUAAAUCACCAGCCAGGUCAUUUCCACUUCAUGCUGUCAGAGCUCAGGCAGAGGGAAGAGAAGGGCUGUUUGUUGGCUUUUCCCUUCCCAGCUCAACAGGCACAGUGAUACUUCAGCAUCCUGGAAAACACAGAAGAGGAAAACAGGAAUAUUUGUCUUAAAAAUGGUUCCUGAAACUUCUUGAUGGAUCAAAGGUAAGGAGAAGUCCCCAGCAUCUCUCUUGGUGGAGUGGCAGGUUUCUGCCAAGCCUUGAUCUGUUCCCCAGCCUAGAGUGGCCUUGGAGGCUCCCCCAGCCCAGCAGGACCUUGCAGGUCCCUCCAGCCCUCGGGAUCCCAAAGCACUGUGGCAGCUCUGAAUCCCUGUGGGGUGUGAGGAGCCCCCCCGUCCUCCUCUGCACAUGGGGAACCUUGCCAGCAUCUGGCCAUUCCCCUGCCUCACACCCAUGUUCUCUGGCCCCUUCCCAGCUCCUCCAGCAGCAUGUUCCUCAUUAUUUACUUUCUCUAAAUGCUGCAGAAAAAUGCUGCUUCUCCUGAAUACUAAGUAAGGAAGGGGGGGAAAAAAAAAAAGCUCAUUCCCUUGCUGGACUGUGUUUGUUCUGUGGUUUGAAGCUCGCUGUUGCUGCUGAAAGCUUUUUUGACCCUUGUAGGUAUUUGAUCCAAGUGACCCCUGGUGUUUGGGGCACUGAUACAGUCCCACACCGAGCUUGUUCUUGCACAGAUCUUAAAUAUCUGUGCAUCCAUCUAUCCAUACAUACAACCACCUUCCUCUCUCUCUUGCUCUCUCUCCUUCCAGCGCUAUCUGAUCAGUUCUUGGCUUUCCCUACACUUCUUUCAUCGAAUUAAUAUCUUUCCCCUGAGGAUGUGUUCUCCUUCUCCCGGGUUUUCUCUUUUUACACCCUGUCAUUUCCCUCUCCCUCCUGCCUCCUUCUGACCCUCUCCCCUUCCCUCCACGCUGCCAGUUUCAAGUUGCCUUGUGUACCCAGCAUAAAGCAAUAAAUAUAUAUGUUUAUAUAUAUAUAUAUAUAUG